rnacentral:rRNA from 1 species
UGGGGAAUAUUGGACAAUGGGGGAAACCCUGAUCCAGCCAUGCCGCGUGAGUGAUGAAGGCCCUAGGGUUGUAAAGCUCUUUUGUGCGGGAAGAUAAUGACGGUACCGCAAGAAUAAGCCCCGGCUAACUUCGUGCCAGCAGCCGCGGUAAUACGAAGGGGGCUAGCGUUGCUCGGAAUCACUGGGCGUAAAGGGUGCGUAGGCGGAUCUUUAAGUCAGAGGUGAAAGCCUGGAGCUCAACUCCAGAACUGCCUUUGAUACUGGGGAUCUUGAGUUCGGGAGAGGUGAGUGGAACUGCGAGUGUAGAGGUGAAAUUCGUAGAUAUUCGCAAGAACACCAGUGGCGAAGGCGGCUCACUGGCCCGAUACUGACGCUGAGGCACGAAAGCGUGGGGAGCAAACA